rnacentral:rRNA from 1 species
UUUCGCAAUGCCCGAAAGGGUGACGAAGCGACGCCGCGUGGGUGAGGAAGGCCUUCGGGUUGUAAAGCCCUGUCAGGAGUUAUGAAAUGUAAGUGCGCUAAUAUCGUGCUUAUUUGACAAAGGCUCCAAAGGAAGCCACGGCUAACUCUGUGCCAGCAGCCGCGGUAAUACAGGGGUGGCGAGCGUUGUUCGGAAUUAUUGGGCGUAAAGAGCACGUAGGUGGGUUUGCAAGUCAGAUGUGAAAGCCUUCUGUUCAACGGAAGAAUUGCAUCUGAAACUGCUAAUCUUGAGUAUAGGAGGGGAGAAUGGAACUUCUGGUGGAGCGGUGAAAUGCGUAGAUAUCAGAAGGAACGCCGGCGGCGAAAGCGAUUCUCUGGCCUAUUACUGACACUCAGUGUGCGAAAGCUAGGGGAGCAAACGGGAUUAGAUACCCCGGUAGUCCUAGCCGUAAACGAUGGGCACUAAGUAGAGGGGUUUUA